AUUGAACGCUGGCGGCACGCCUAACACAUGCAAGUCGAGCGGCAGCAUGCUUAGUAGCAAUACUAAGUGAUGGCGAGCGGCGGGCGGGUGAGGAACACGUAGGAACCUGCCCAAGAGAGGGGGACAACCAAUGGAAACGUUGGCUAAUACCGCAUAAUCUCUUAGGAGAAAAGUUGCCCGUAAGGGUAGCGCUUUUGGAGGGGCCUGCGUCCGAUUAGCUAGUUGGUGAGGUAAUGGCUCACCAAGGCUGUGAUCGGUAACUGGUCUGAGAGGACGACCAGUCACACUGGGACUGAGACACGGCCCAGACUCCUACGGGAGGCAGCAGUGGGGAAUCUUGGACAAUGGGGGCAACCCUGAUCCAGCGAUGCCGCGUGGGUGAAGAAGGCCUUCGGGUUGUAAAGCCCUUUAGGCUGGGACGAAGGGUAUGGGACGAAUAAUCCUGUACUUUGACGGUACCAGCAGAAUAAGCACCGGCAAACUCUGUGCCAGCAGCCGCCGUAA
rnacentral:rRNA from 1 species